rnacentral:rRNA from 1 species
GGCCUACCAUGGUUUUAACGGGUAACGGGGAAUUAGGGUUCGAUUCCGGAGAGGGAGCCUGAGAAACGGCUACCACAUCCAAGGAAGGCAGCAGGCGCGCAAAUUACCCAAUCCCGACACGGGGAGGUAGUGACAAUAAAUAACAAUACGGGGCUCAUUUGGGUCUCGUAAUUGGAAUGAGUACAAUUUAAAUCCCUUAACGAGGAACAAUUGGAGGGCAAGUCUGGUGCCAGCAGCCGCGGUAAUUCCAGCUCCAAUAGCGUAUAUUAAAGUUGUUGCAGUUAAAAAGCUCGUAGUUGAACCUCGGGGUCUACCCAUUGGUCAGGCUUAAUUGUCUGCACUGGUGAGAUGGAUCUCUACCUUCUGAGGAACUUUCAUGCCAUUUAUUUGGUGUGAUGGGAAAUCAGGACUGUUACUUUGAAAAAAUUAGAGUGUUUAAAGCAGACUAUCGUCUGAAUACAUUAGCAUGGAAUAAUGAAAUAGGACGGACUGAUUCUAUUUCGUUGGUUUCUAGGAUCACCGUAAUGAUUAAUAGGGAUAGUUGGGGGCAUUAGUAUUCAAUUGUCAGAGGUGAAAUUCUUGGAUUUAUUGAAGACUAACUACUGCGAAAGCAUUUGCCAAGGAUGUUUUCAUUAAUCAAGAACGAAAGUUAGGGGAUCGAAGACGAUCAGAUACCGUCGUAGUCUUAACCAUAAACUAUGCCGACUAGGGAUCGGACGAAGUUAAUUUUAUAAUGACGCGUUCGGCACCUUACG